rnacentral:rRNA from 1 species
UCCUACGGGGGGCAGCAGUGAGGAAUAUUGGUCAAUGGGCGGGAGCCUGAACCAGCCAAGUCGCGUGAAGGAAGAAGGUACUUCGUAUUGUAAACUUCUUUUGUCGGGGAACAAAGGCGGAGACGCGUCUCCGGAUGAGUGUACCCGAAGAAAAAGCAUCGGCUAACUCCGUGCCAGCAGCCGCGGUAAUACGGAGGAUGCGAGCGUUAUCCGGAUUUAUUGGGUUUAAAGGGUGCGCAGGCGGAAGAUCAAGUCAGCGGUAAAAUUGAGAGGCUCAACCUCUUCGAGCCGUUGAAACUGGUUUU